rnacentral:rRNA from 1 species
CGUAGGUGGCGAAGCGUUGUCCGGGAUUAUUGGGCGUAAAGCGCGCGCAGGCGGUCCUUUAAGUCUGAUGUGAAAGCCCACGGCUCAACCGUGGAGGGUCAUUGGAAACUGGGGGACUUGAGUACAGAAGAGAAGAGUGGAAUUCCACGUGUAGCGGUGAAAUGCGUAGAGAUGUGGAGGAACACCAGUGGCGAAGGCGACUCUUUGGUCUGUAACUGACGCUGAGGCGCGAAAGCGUGGGGAGCAAACAGGAUUAGAUACCCUGGUAGUCCACGCUGUAAACGAUGAGUGCUAAGUGUUAGAGGGUUUCCGCCCUUUAGUGCUGCAGCUAACGCAUUAAGCACUCCGCCUGGGGAGUACGCCCGCAAGGCUG